CUCGGUAUCGGAGUUUCUGCUCUAUGUUCCGCGGCAACGUUUAUACGUUGUUAUCACAAUCGAACUGGAGAUGAUUUCUGGCUAGUGAAGUUAGAGGUGUUCUCGGUACAAGAGACUUGACACUGAGAUUAUAUGAUGUGUUUGUGAUUUGAGUGGCAUAUACGAAGCAACCAAAUGUGUCUAUUAAUUCAAUGUUAGGCCAGAUGAUUUUAUUAUCUUUGAUGUACAAAAACAUAUUUUAUAUUUGAACAUUUUUUAAGUAAUACCGUAUAUAUACAUAUAUGUAGAUGAAACUUCGUAAGAAUUUGUGAUGUGCAAAUUUUACAAUUGCUCACACGUACUUUAGCUGAGAAAAUUGCAGCCAUCAGUAUCAUCAUUACCAUCAUCAGCUUGAAAUUUUGAUUCUAAGAAAUACAUAUAUAUGUAUAUUUUUUUGAGUAAAUGGUGCUAGUCACUGCUUUGAAGUGGAUCUAAGACACACACACACAUGCAAUGCCGAGAUGCUGCAAUGAGAACAAAUCACUGAGGCUGGUGAGCAGCAAUCAGCAACACGGCACAGAUAAUAUUUUACUCCCACACCCUCGACCUUAUUCCAUUGCUGGUGGAGAGCAGUUAGAUGUAGAAGAGGAUCCGCCUGUGGUCGUUGUUCAAAGAUCUCACAGGAGGGUACGCUGUGAUCUUAGUCCUGUCCCUACCAAUACUAAUUCCAAUUACAUCAAGUUAAUUGGUAUAAAGGACAAAUCCAGUCGACAAGAAAAUCAAUUAAAACACAGUCCUGGAAGUAGUGGACAUAGAGAUAGAGAAAGAGAGGCAAAAAAGAGAGCAGCUAUAGGCAACGUAGUGCGUGGACUUUUCCCUUCAGGCCAUAGUAGGCAGGAC
rnacentral:lncRNA from 1 species